GAUGAACGCUGGCGGCGUGCCUAACACAUGCAAGUCGAACGAGGGCAGAUUGAAACCUAGUGAUAUCUGCCCGAGUGGCGGACGGGUGAGUAACGCGUGGACAACCUGCCGUAUGCAGGGGGAUACCAGCUGGAAACAGCUGCUAAUACCGCAUAUGCGCACAGGGCCGCAUGGCCUGGUGCGGAAAGGAGCAAUCCGGCAUACGAUGGGUCCGCGUCCGAUUAGCUAGUUGGCGGGGCAGCGGCCCACCAAGGCGACGAUCGGUAGCCGGCCUGAGAGGGCGGACGGCCACAUUGGGACUGAGACACGGCCCAG
rnacentral:rRNA from 1 species